CCUACGGGUGGCAGCAGUGGGGAAUCUUGCACAAUGGGGGCAACCCUGAUGCAGCGACGCCGCGUGAGCGAUGAAGCCCUUCGGGGUGUAAAGCUCUUUCGACAGGGAAGCGGUACCUGCAGAAGCAGCUGCGGCUAACUACGUGCCAGCAGCCGCGGUAAUACGUAGGCAGCAAGCGUUGUUCGGAGUUACUGGGCGUAAAGGGUGCGUAGGCGGUCCUGUAAGUAUGGUGUGAAAUCUCCCGGCUUAACUGGGAGGGUGCGCUAUAAACUGCGGGACUAGAGUGUGGGAGAGGAAAGUGGAAUUCCUGGUGUAGCGGUGAAAUGCGUAGAUAUCAGGAGGAACACCGGUGGUGUAAGCGGCUUUCUGGACAUACUGACGCUGAGGCACGAAAGCGUGGGUAGCAAACAGGAUUAGAUACCCUUGUAGUC
rnacentral:rRNA from 1 species